rnacentral:rRNA from 1 species
AUUGAACGCUGGCGGUACGCUUUACACAUGCAAGUCGAACGGUAACAGGUCUUCGGAUGCUGACGAGUGGCGAACGGGUGAGUAAUGUAUCGGAACGUGCCUAGUAAUGGGGGAUAACCACUCGAAAGAGUGACUAAUACCGCAUAAUAUCUCAGGAUGAAAGCGGGGGAUCGCAAGACCUCGCGUUAUUAGAGCGGCCGAUAUCAGAUUAGGUAGUUGGUGGGAUAAAAGCCUACCAAGCCAACGAUCUGUAGCUGGUCUGAGAGGACGACCAGCCACACUGGGACUGAGACACGGCCCAGACUCCUACGGGAGGCAGCAGUGGGGAAUUUUGGACAAUGGGCGAAAGCCUGAUCCAGCAAUACCGCGUGCAGGACGAAGGCCUUCGGGUUGUAAACUGCUUUUGUACGGAACGAAACGGUUCAGAUUAAUACUCUGAACUAAUGACGGUACCGUAAGAAUAAGCACCGGCUAACUACGUG